CCAGGCAGCUGGGGAAAGAAAAGGAACUGCAGAACAUGUUCCAAGCCAUCCUGCACCCCCCACCCGGGGUGGCGGCUGCUGAGGUGGUAGAGCCGAAUUUCCCUUCCCUGCAAGACCUGCUGCGGGAACCAGACUCCUUGCGCAAGAAGAGCGUGAUCCUCCUCUUUGUUGGGCUGGUCCUGAGCUCCAUGCUGGUGACCCUGUUGCUCAUGGGAGUUUAUUAUUGGGCUACAGACGUGGAGAAAUCCUGAACCAUGAAGAAGUCCACAGCGACCUCCCAUCUCUUCCCUCUCCUUGAGACUUCUGCUGUUCCCUAACAAAGACCAUACAGAGAUAAAUUGUUAUAUAAUAAU